rnacentral:rRNA from 1 species
GACGAACGCUGGCGGCGUGCUUAACACAUGCAAGUCGAGCGGUAAGGCCCUUUCGGGGGUACACGAGCGGCGAACGGGUGAGUAACACGUGGGUGACCUGCCCUCAGCUCUGGGAUAAGCCUGGGAAACCGGGUCUAAUACUGGAUAUGACUCCAUGACGCAUGUUGUGGGGUGGAAAGCCUUGUGCGGCUGAGGAUGGGCCCGCGGCCUAUCAGCUUGUUGGUGGGGUGANGGGCCUACCAAGGCGACGACGGGUAGCCGGCCUGAGAGGGCGACCGGCCACACUGGGACUGAGACACGGCCCAGACUCCUACGGGAGGCAGCAGUGGGGAAUC